GCGCUCGCUUUGGCAGUACAUAUACUAAAACUAGAACAAUAUAGAGAAGAUUAGUAUGGCCCCUGUGCAAUGAUGACAUGCAAAUUCAUGAAGCGUUUCAUCUUUUU
ensembl:snRNA U6 U6 spliceosomal RNA